rnacentral:rRNA from 1 species
UACGAAGGGGGCUAGCGUUGCUCGGAAUCACUUGGGCGUAAAGCGCACGUAGGCGGCUUUUUAAGUCAGGGGUGAAAUCCUGGAGGCUCAACCUCCAGAACUGCCUUUGAUACUGAGAGCUUGAGUCCGGGAGAGGUGAGUGGAACUGCGAGUGUAAGAGGUGAAAUUCGUAGAUAUUCGCAAGAACACCAGUGGCGAAGGCGGCUCACUGGCCCGGUACUGACGCUGAGGUGCGAAAGCGUGGGGAGCAAACAGG